UGCGAAGGGGGCUAGCGUUGCUCGGAAUCACUGGGCGUAAAGCGCACGUAGGCGGCCAACUAAGUCCGACGUGAAAUCCCCAGGCUUAACCUGGGAACUGCGUCGGAUACUGGAUGGCUUGAAUUCGGGAGAGGGAUGCAGAAUUCCAGGUGUAGCGGUGAAAUGCGUAGAUAUCUGGAGGAAUACCGGUGGCGAAGGCGGCAUCCUGGACCGACAUUGACGCUGAACGGCGAAAGCUAGGGGAGCAAACGGG
rnacentral:rRNA from 1 species